UCUACUGCUGUUAUCUUGAAAUUCUUAAUUUUUGAACAAGACUCCCCAUAAUUUUUUAUUUUGCCUGGGCCUUGUAAAUUAUGUAACUGGUCCUGUCUGUAAAUCCUCACUAAGCAUUUUGUAGUGAGUGAAAUGUGCCUAAAAUUAACAAGAUAGUCAGCAUUAAGAAGGAAAAGAAGCUGGAGUCAGGGAUACCAAUUCACUAGCAACAGGGAGACCCCAUAUACCUUCGUUCAGAUAAUGGGAUUCUUCACAGGCUAUUGUUUCUGUAUAUAAAUCCCUGGUGUUCUGAAAUCACUUCAUAGUAUCCUUUCUGCAUGCUGCUUUCUUGCCUGACAGAGGCACAGGACUCCUAGAUAGGAUCCCCAAGGUUAUCCUUGUUUGCACAAGAAUUGUUUCUUCUUAAGGAAAGUCUUCUAAAUCAAAACAUGGCAAACAUCUUCAGAAGCUUCAGUCUGGUGACUGUAUGUUUGAGGGUCACAUAUUAGAAUACAUGUAGAAGUAAACCCUCCCUUUGCAGAGUCAGGUCAGGACCAUGUUGGUGAGGUUCAGGGGACUAAAUGACUUACUGAUGUCAUGGUAAACCGACAGAAUUGAUGGAUGUGUCCCACAAAUAUAUAUGUAAGUUUUAACAUAUCCUUUUCAAAAAAUAUUUAAACUAGUAUAAUUUGAUUUCUGGGUUAGAUUCAUUAGUACAUUGUAUUGACCAUUCCUUUUUCUCUAAGUUUGUCUUUAUCUGGCAAAAAUAGAGAUGCAGUUGGGAUAUGGAUCAUUAGAUAAUAUAGCAAAGAAAGAGAUCAGAAUUUUUUUUGCAAUUGAGACAUUUAUCAAAUCUUCACUGAGACAAGAGGGUUUGGGAUAAUAGGCACUGAAUCAUUGUUUUGGUUGAAGAAUCAUUUUGGCUCAAAUUAUUGCAAGAAUGAAAGGUUGUAGAUUGACUGGUGCCUAUGACCACCUUCUCACACCAGGUUGUGAUGUGACUCAGCUGCCUAUGACCUACUUCUCACCCUGCAGAAUCUGGAGAAAACAGUUACCAUGAGUCUUUCUUUUCUUCACAUGGAAAAAAGAAAAAAAAAUCAGAGAGUGGGGUAAUCAUGGUCAAUCUUAUUUAGUAACAAAAUAAAACAAACUUUAACCCUCA
rnacentral:lncRNA from 12 species